GAAAUCUAGAGCUAAUACAUGCAAUUAGCUGAACUUGUUCAGUGGCAUUUAUUUGAAAAUACCAACUGUGUGAGCAAUCACGCAAGAUGAAUCUAGAUAACUGUGCAGAUCGUAAGCGUAUGCUAGCGACAUUUCGAUUAAAUUUCUGCCCUAUCAACUCCGUUGGUUGUGUAGUGGACAACCAAGGUUGUAACGGGUAACGGGGGAUAAGGGUUCGAUUCCGGAGAGGGAGCCUGAGAAACGGCUACCACAUCCAAGGAAGGCAGCAGGCGCGCAAAUUACCCAAUCCAGAAAGUGGGAGGUGGUGACGAAAAGUACCGGAUGACGACAAAGUUGUCAGUCUGGAAUGGAUGCAAUUUAAGCAAUUGACUUGAGUAACAACUGGAGGGCAAGUCUGGUGCCAGCAGCCGCGGUAAUUCCAGCUCCAGUAGCGUAUCUCAAAGUUGCUGCGCUUGAAACGCUCGUAGUUGGAUCACAAACUCUGUGUCAGUGGGUCGCUGUGCUGUGGCAAUAGCCUUGUAGUGGCCUGUUGUGGCGUCCUCGUCACAAAUGGGGUGCUGCAAUGUGUCCUGCGCAGUGGCUUUUAGCUGACAUGGAGUAAUUGCACGUGAGGAUGAGUGUUGACCUUGAGUGUGUCGAGACUCGUGUCUCACGGGGUGUGCCUUGAGUAAAUCAGAGUGCUCAAAGCGGCGAAAGCUUGAAUGUUGAUAGCAUGGAACGAACAAUCGUGUAUGGCGCGUGUUGGUUAAAGUACGUGCAGGGUAACACUGUGCGUGCUUCAACACGCCACGCCGACCACCAAUAACGGAUGUUGGUUCCGUAUUGGGGUACUGAUUAAGAGGAGCGGUUGGGGGCAUUGGUACUUGGCAGCGAGAGGUGAAAUUCUUAGACCUGUCAAAGACUAACGAAUGCGAAGGCAUCUGUCCAGACCGUAUCCAUUAAUCAAGAACGAAAGUGAGAGGUUCGAAUGAGAUCAGAUACCUCAGUAGUUCUCACCCUAAACUAUGCCGACCCGGGAUCAGUUUGGAUUGUAAUUCAAGAUCGAGGUUGGUCCCCCUGGGAAACCUAAAGUUUUUCGGUUGCGGGGGGAGUAUGGUCGCAAGGCUGAAACUUAAAGGAAUUGACGGAAGGGCACCACCAGGGGUGGAGCCUGCGGCUUAAUUUGACUCAACACGGGAAAACUUACCUGGUCCGGACAUCAAAAGGAUAGACAGACCAUAGAUCUUUCUUGAUAUGAUGAUUGGUGGUGCAUGGCCGUUCUUAGUUCGUGAAGUGAUUUGUCAGGCCUAUCCCGGUAACGAACGAGAUCGCGUUCUCCAUUUGACGGAUCGGAGAAGGUCGUUUUUGAGUGCCCGUGCAGAAAUGUGUGGGUAUUUGAGAACGGCUGCAGGCAGCGCGCGAUGAUUCUGAUUGGCCGCGAGGUUCGCUGAGUGGUCGAUUAGGAGAAUUGCGUGCUCCCUCCGAGAGGGCAGUAUAGUGAUCGCAAGGUUGCUGUGCUGUAUCAUGGAGAGACAACGGAAUAUAUUACAAAAUCCGAGGAAGUGCGGCUAUAACAGGUCUGUGAUGCCCUUAGAUGUCCAGGGCUGCACGCGCGCUACAAUGGCGGUGACAGCGAGUGUCUGGAUCGAGAGAUUCGGGUAACCUUGUAAUCAUCGCCGUGAUUGGGAUGGACGUUUGUAAUUACGUCGUGAAAGAGGAAUCCCUAGUACGUGCGAUUCAUGAGAUCGCACGGAUUUAGUCCCUGCCC
rnacentral:rRNA from 1 species